UACACAUAAAUGAAUACCUCAUUUGAAGGCUAAUGAGCUUAUUCCCAUUUUCAUCGCUGAUGUGUGUCCAACUCUUAGCAAAUUGAACUUCCGGAAGAGGUGAAAAACGGGAACCCUUCAAGAAUGGAGGAGAACGAACCAUGUGAAGCACACGUGUUGCUGGGCUUGGAAUAUUAAAUGAGAGGGCUGCUCUGAUACAGAUUGGAUUCGAACUGACAAGACCAGAGGGAGGAACAACCUCCAACCAUUUUUCCACUGAGAUACUGGAGACAGGAACGAGAAAAUCUUCUAGUGAGAUAGUAGCGGAUCCUAAAGCUUUGGGUUUUGAUAUUGGUAAGUUGGAAUUUGAGUGCACGAAAACUUCAAAAAGCAAGAGGCCAGAAGGUUCACAAUUGAAUAAUGCAACUUGUUUCUCCCCAUACUCAGAAAAUAUAUUCAGUUUUCUCUUCGUGUUAAAUAUUGCAUCUGGCUGUGCCUUGCUAAAAGAGACGUAGACACUUCCCUUGAGUUCUUCAGGUAAGUUCUUUAUCUCAACAAACUCUGUAAGUGUUCUUACUACAUGAUUGGUUAGAAAGAUUAUCCUGUAGACCAGAAUUAGGAAACAGAGAUGCAAAGUAAGUGAUAUAAAGUGUUUUUCUUCUGCUCACUAGAAAGAGCUGCCAUGGGUACUAAAGUUACUCAUCACAAAAUGUAUUCAGAGCGAGGAAAUUUUCGGAAGUUGAGACUUAAGUCUAGCAAAUGAUUUUGGAGACACUGAAGCUAGAUUCUUGAACAAAUAUAGAAGAUAAAGCUAAGGAUGUCCGUUAAUUUAAGCAAAUUGUUACAUCCCAGAAACAUUUCUACCAGUCCCAUUCUUUUGCAGCUAGAGACAGGAGAGAACGCAUCUAGUUAAUAUAUGAUCAAACACAUAUAAUGCAGCUGCGUAGAGAAAUACGAAUUUGGAUAAGAAUUUACCUCCACAGACUUCAGCUCAGGAAGACUUAUGAUUUGUUGCUGCACAUCAGUCGAUACAAUCUUAUUGGUCAUGGAUUUUGACACAAAUGGGAUGGUUAUCAGAGGAGAUGGAGCAGCCCCUCUAUACAUUGAGCCUGAUCUCCAAUAUCUUGAGCCAAAUAUUUGCUCCCACUGGCUUGUAGUUUCAGAGAAACCAACAUCCAGCUUUUGCCCUUUUGUUCUGUCCGAGUCUGUGUCGUCAUGUUUCAAAACCUUCCCAAUAAGCUUGACCAUGUCUUUGCAAUAAGACACUGGGUGCAACUGGUGGGAAUGCCAUAUCAAGUCAAUGUCGUAGGUGGGAACACAGAAGCGUUUGAGCAUAUGCUCUCUGUUUUUGUUAAUAAGAUGCAGAAAACCUUUAUAUCUGGCCACGACUGCCUCAAGAAAUAAGUCAUUCUUCAUAUGGGGUCUGGAAACCUGGUAAACAAUACUAGUUAGAAAGAUGAUAUAGAUUACAAUACACAUUCAAUAUCUUAUUAGUGAAUUCCUUUAGAAUAUCUUUAAAUGUAAAUGAGCUAAUUGGUUCAAAUUGAAAGAAAGCUGCAAGAAGUAAAUACUUAACUACGAUUAGAACUUAAGUACCGUCAUUUAUUUGCAAUUUAGAAUAAUUGAAAUCUCUGACUCUCUGUUACUUGAAUACUAUAUGCCAAGAGGCCCAAGACAGAUCUUCAGUUGCAGUAAUAGUCUAACAGAAUAUCAAAAACCUUAAAAUAACAGAGAAAAGCUGAGCAGAAGCUAUGCAUGGACCACACUUGAUCAUUAUAGAAGGCAAGAAAUAUGCUAUUCAUACACAAUAUCUAGAGGCUGUAAAGAGAAAAAACACACACAAUUCUAUAAAAAUGAAUUCGACCACAACAUAAAUCAUGCAUAGAUAUAGGAGUUUCGGUGUCCAACAUUGUAACAUGGAAUAUUGAUAACAAGAUCAUGUCCUAUAUUUACCUGGUAGAAGAAUGGACUCUGUCUUUCAAUAGCUAAAACAAGAUCGUAUGUGGUGUGCUUUUCAGCAUCAGCUGCGUUGUCUAAUGUUUUGUCCCAGCAAGAUGUAUCGGGGUCAAAGCUAUAGGGCUCGUCUGGGUACAACCUUCCCCAAAUCUUUUCUGUCUCUCUACCCGAAGUUCCUUCAAUAGAUGAUAAAACAUUGCAAUUAUCAAGAAUCCUUCCAUAAAACUUCUUGCAAUCAGAUAUAUAUCUUACCUGAAGAAGAAACAAAGGAUUGCAGUUAUCAGUCUAAAUAUAAUAUGUUUGAAUGAAAUUUAUGAACAACUAUAUACUACAACAGCACAGAAGCAUACUGGAUUAAGCCUGUGGCAGUGCCAAACCCAUUCACAAUCAAGAGGAACAACCAAAGGUCCUUUAGAGAUCUGUGACUCGGCAUUUUUAGCAAGCAACGGAAGCCAACAAGCAUUAUACCUGAAAUUCAAUCACAACAAGUUAGUAAUCCUAUCAAUGCAGAUUACAAGCUGAAAUCAAAACACAUCAAUUUGAGUACUAAUGCCGAAAUUUUCCACAAACCUCAUCAUCAAAAUUUUGCACUUUAUGCAUCAACACAUACCACAUUCAAUACCUUACAACUAUAUGCAUCAACAACCUUAUGAAUUGAAAACAAUUACACAAAAUACCUGUAAAUUGAUCUUUGUAGUGCAGGGCCUUUGUAAAGCCAGCGAUUACGAUCAACAGCUGCAAGAAACUGAAGCUGCUGUUUAGCAGUAGCCACAAGAUCCUCACUUAUAACAAUCUGUUGAGCUUUGCUCCACUCUAUCUCCUCAACACCAACCUUAGAUUUCUCAACAAGUAACUCAACGAGUAAAUCUUGAAGUCGAGAGAAAAAAGGGAAAUGGAGUUUGGGUUUAGAGGGAUGAUCAGGGUUAGGUUUUGUGGAGAAGUGAGAAGUUGCAUGAAAACAAAAGGGUGCAAGACAACAAGUAUGAGCUGAAGCUGCGGAAAGUCCAAGAAAUCGAGAAGUUGAUGUCAAGAACUUCUUCAUCAUAUCUCUACUUGUGAAACAUUUAGCUGGCAGAACGCAAAAGAGCAGAGUAUCAUCAAUUCAGGCCCAGAAUUUUGAUUCACUUCUAUGUUAUUCUUCUUGGCCAAGAAGUAACUAAUUUCCAAUCCCAUUACUACUCCUGCUGCUUUGGUACAGUUUGAACCAGUUUUCUACCGGAAGUUUAUUGCCAGAUGUGAUCAGCAAGAAGAAGAAUGCAAGGAUUGUCCCCGGUUCAUCGAAGGUGUGAGAAUAAGCUAAUUUCAAAUGAGCAAGAAUGGUAAAGUGCAAGUGUUUGUGUGUGUAUCGAGUCAAUGAUCAGCAGAAUGGUAAAGUGCAAGUCUUUUAAUAAGCCUAGAACCAACAGCAGAAUGGUAAAGUGCAAGUCUUUUAAUAAGCCUAGAACCAACAGCAGAAUGGUAAAGUGCAAGUCUUUUAAUAAGCCUAGAACCAACAGCAGAAUGGUAAAGUGCAAGUCUUUUAAUAAGCCUAGAACCAACUCCCUUGAACAUGUCCGUCCAAUAGCGAAGUGGGGGAACGGUUCCACCGAAUCCGGAGGAAUAUGUACGUUGGAUUUAAGUUUUUCUCAAAACCGAAGUGGACCGAACUUUUAUUCAAAACCGAACAAAAUCAAUCGAAUUAUUGCAGUUCGAUUUCGGUUUAAAAAAAGUCAUAUUUUUUAAAAACCCUGUACCGUCCAAAUCGAAAUUUUGAAAAAAAAUGAAAUCAAACCGAACCGAAAUUAUACGGUUUGGUUCAGUUCAGUUUUGUUCACCUCUAACGUUGGAAGCUAACGUCUCUUCUUCUGUAACCAGGACUGUUCACGAAUCAAGCUGUUCGCGAACAAGCUCAAGCUCGCCUCAAUAAAAGCUCGGUUCGGCUCGAUUCGUUAAGAACUCGAGCUCCGAGUUCGUUAAGAAAACAAGCUCGAGUCAAGUUUUUAGCGUGUUCGACUCGAGCUCGGCUCGAGCUCAGCCCUAGUAUUGACAGAAGGAGAGACAUAAUUUCGACGAGUGUUGUGGAUCAAAAUAAUCUGAAUCAAUGAAAUAUAAUGGGUGAAUUCACAUUAUCUCCCUCCUAAUAGAAAAAAAAUAAUCACAAACCAGUAUAUUAUAAUAUGAAGUGAUUAUCUUACAAUGAGAUGUUGCAAAACAAUUUAUUUAGAAACACUUGCAACAAUGAACAAUUGAAAAUGCUGACCAACAUAGAGCACCAAGAGCAGGAUAGAAAUAGCAUACAACACUGAAAGAUGGUUAAUGGUCGACUUGUAUACAGACUCGGAAGAUUAAUUCAUUAUGAGACAUGGAUUCCCCUUAUUAUGCAGAUUUACACACCAAGAAUUAACAACUAUUUCAAAGUGCAGCUCUUCAGAGACAUAGCAUGCUCCUAGUAGACUGCUUAAAGUACGAAACUUACUAUGCCAUUAUUGCUUCACAUUGCAUGUUUGCUUGAUUGCCAUCGAUGCUGGCAGGCGCUAGUCUAUUUCCACAUCCACCACCACCACAGCUGCCACAACCACCUCCACAGCCUCCACUCGCUGCCAUAUUUCCACAACCUCCUCCACAGCCGCCACAACCACCUCCACAGCCGCCACAACCACCACUCUUCACCAUAUUUCCACAGCCACCGCUGCCACCACAGCCUCCACAACCGCUGCUGCCACCACAACCUCCACAACCACCACUUUUCAACAUAUUUCCACAUUCACCUCCACAACCACUACCACAUCCACCGAAAUCCACAGUCCUCGUCACAUUACCGCACUCACUGCCACAGUUUCCACAUCCUCCGAUUAAAGGUGCCACUGCAUUCCCUUCAGCACCUUCAGGGAUCAGCUCCGAUCCUUUCUCCUCACCGCAAAAGUCAGUUUUCUGUUCUUUUUCAUCACAGGUGUUGACUCCUUGAAUCAAAGCACCCUCCUUUGGAUUUUCACUAGCAAAAUUAGCAAGGCCACUAUAUCCUUUCUUUCUCAAAGUUUCAGAAUAUAUAAAACCAAGUAUAAUACCAGGGAUCACAAACCAAUCUUCUUGUACCUAACAUAUAAAGGAUGAAAAUUUAACGUCGUCACAACCAACAAAACAUGGUAAAUUCGUGAGUAUAGUUUAUAUUUAAGUUUUUUACCUUGUAAAUUCCAUAUUUUAAGUCCAACAAUGCCACCGCACGGCCGUAUGGGUCUUCUGCUGAGAAUUGAACUGCUGUGAGAAAAUCUAGGUCACUUCUACUCUUCUCGCAGUGCUUUGGUUCAUAUUCCAAUUUUCUGCCAGGAAAAUAUCUUACCUGUUCCAAAAGAUGAUGAUAAUAUUUAUUGCUUUAUUCAUAAGCACGUUGAUCCCACUCUUUCCCUAUGGAUUACAUAUCUGAAGAACCCUCUACAAAGUGGUUGAAAUCUAGUUCAGGGAAAAACUAGAACAAUAGAUAUGGUCACAGAAUAUAGCAUAUAGUCAAAUGGCCCAAGGAGUAGUAUUUUCCUGAAAAAACAUAGCUCUUUCAACACAUUUACCAGUACUUUUUCCUAUUCACAAUUGAUUUUAGUUAGAUGAAUGCUUAUAAUCAAUUCAAUAAAUCCUUCAAGUAUUCCGGAUUAGAAGAAAUGUCUAAGAUUUCGCUCGAUACAUCAUAGAUAAGCUAGAUUGCCGAACAGUCUUUUUAUAAAAAUAAUGAACAGGAUUAGCUCAUAUAAUUGUGCGAUUAAGCAUAAAAUAUGUUUUUUUUAGUUGACUUGCAUGAAAAAACCAAGUUAGUCUUACCGUGCGGUGACCUGUAAGCUCAAAAAAGGGAACUCCAAUAUCAACACUAGUAAGAAUUCGAACAGACCAUGAAGAAUCUAUCAAAGACCACUUUGUUCCCACCAACUUUGCAAGAGUGCGUGUUUCGCCUGAUUCAGUGAUGCCAAUCACCUCUUUCUUUAAAAGUUCAUUAUCCGCUCGCUUCAAUUUUCUAUUGUCCCUGUAGUGCAGGAGAAACAAAAAACCAAGAGUAGGUUAAGACUUCUACAUAGGAUCUUUAACUAGUAUCAUUCAGGAUAUAGUAGUUAUUCAGGGCUUUUAAUGCAAUAAGAACAUCGUAAACCAAAUUUCCCCUCUGGUUACAUUAAUUUCUUCUAAAAUGUCAUAGUUAACUAAAAAAUAUUCUGAUUACAGUUCCUCCUAGGUACGGAAACCAAAUUUUGCAGAAGUUCACAACUGUAUCUGUAACUUUUCAAAAAUAAUUACACCUUCUAUCCAUGUUAUGACAAUAUAGAUGCAAUCUAGCUAACAAAAAUCCAUCAAACUAAACUUGAAACACAAUCAUCCAUCAAAGGUACUCCCUCCAUCCCAAAUUAGAUGAGCUCGUUGACUUCGGGCACACACUUUAAGGUCCAUUGACCGCAUAGCUACAUUAUUUAUUUUUAAAAUUUUAUUUUUGCAAAUAAAAAUUUAGAUACGAAAUUUUCGUUAACAAAAGAAAAAUCAAAAAAUUAAAUUUCAGAACCCGCAUAGCUACAUUAUUUAUUUUUAAAAUUUUAUUUUUGCAAAUAAAAAUUUAGAUACGAAAUUUUCGUUAACAAAAGAAAAAUCAAAAAAUUAAAUUUCAGAACUAGACGGUCAAUGCACCUAAAUUUACGUGCCCAAAGUCAACUAGCUCAUCUAAUUUGGGAUGGAGGUAGUAGUACACAUAUAUGAAUACCUCAUUUGAAGGCUAAUGAGCUUAUUUCCAUUUUCAUCGCUGAUGUGUGUCCAACUCUUAGCAAAUUGAACUUCCGGAAGAGGUGAGAAACAGGAACCCUUCAAGAAUGGACGAGAACGAACUAUGUGAAGCACAUGUGUUGCUGGGCUUGGAAUAUUAAAUGAGAGGGCUGCUCUGAUAGAGAUUGGAUUCGCACUGACAAGACCAGAGGGAGGAACGACCUCCAGCCAUUUUUCCACUGAGAGACUGGAGACGGGAACGAGAAAAUCUUCUAGCGAGAUAGUAGCGGAUCCUAAAGCUUUGGGUUUUGAUAUUGCUAAGUUGGAAUUUGAGUGCACGAGAACUUCAAAAAGCAAGAGUCCAGAUGGUUCACAGUUGAAUAAGGCAACUUGUUUCUCCCCAUACUCAGACAAUAUAUUCAGUUUUCUCUUCGUGUUAAAUAUUGCAUCUGGCUGUGCCUUGCUAAAAGAGACGUAGACACUUCCCUUGAGUCCUUCAGGCAAGUUCUUUAUAUCAACAAACUCCAGCAUGACCUUGGAUAUAAUAAGAAUUGUAUUUAUUAAUAAUAACACUGUAACCAAAAACAUUCUUAUAAUUUACAUAUAAUAAUUUGAGGAAUUUUGAAUGAGCCAAUUGACCUGCUGCUCAUGAAGACCUUAAUUUCCAAUCACAUGCCCAUAUAUGACACACAUCUUUAAAAUAUUUACUUUUGCAAAUUCAAUACACCAACUCUGUAAGUGUUCUUACUACAUGAUUGCUCAGAAAGAUUAUCCCGUAGACCAAAAUUAGGAAACAGGGAUGCAAACUAAGUGACUUUAAAAGCAUUUUUCUUCUGCUCAGUAGAAAGAGCUGCCACGGGUAAUAAAGUUACUCAUCACAAGAUGUAUUCAGAGCGAGGAAAUUUUCGGAAGUUGAGACUUAAGUCUAGCAAAUGAUUUUGGAGACACUGAAGCUAGAUUCUUGAACAAAUAUAGAAGAAAAGGCUAAGGAUGUUUGAUAACUUAAGGAAAUUGUUACAUCCCAGAAAUGGGAUAAAUAUCAAAGUCGUCACUCGUUUGGUUCAGAUAUAUUAAAUUAAUCACUCGUUUCAAAAUCGACUCAACUUAGUCACUAAUUUUAAAUUUUGUAUUAAGUAAAUCAUCCGCCACUGACUAAAUUAAUACAAACUUUCAACUUUUUAAUGACUAAGUUGAUGCAAAUUUUCAAAUUGAUAAUCAAAUUGAGUAAAUUUUGAAAUGAGUGACUAAUUUGAUAUAUAUGAACCAAACGAGUGAUGACUUUGGUAUUUAUCUCUACCAGUACAGUUCUUUUGCAGCUGGAGACAGGAGAGAACGCAUCUAGUUAAUAUAUGAUCGAACAUAUAUAAUACAGCUGCAUUCAGAAGGUUCAGUUUGUAUCAGGCUAUCACUAUUCACCACAAUACCAGAGAACAACACACAUGGAAACACGAAUUUGGAUAAG
rnacentral:lncRNA from 1 species